rnacentral:tRNA from 1 species
GGAGGGAUGGCCGAGUGGUUUAAGGCGGCGGUCUUGAAAACCGCUUUCGCUAUUUGCGAACGUAGGUUCGAAUCCUACUCCCUCCGCCA